AACGAACGCUGGCGGCAGGCUUAACACAUGCAAGUCGAACGCCCCGCAAGGGGAGUGGCAGACGGGUGAGUAACGCGUGGGAACAUACCCUUUUCUACGGAAUAGCUCUGGGAAACUGGAAUUAAUACCGUAUACGCCCUACGGGGGAAAGAUUUAUCGGGGAAGGAUUGGCCCGCGUUGGAUUAGCUAGUUGGUGGGGUAAAGGCCUACCAAGGCGACGAUCCAUAGCUGGUCUGAGAGGAUGAUCAGCCACAUUGGGACUGAGACACGGCCCAAACUCCUACGGGAGGCAGCAGUGGGGAAUAUUGGACAAUCGGCGCAAGCCUGAUCCAGCCAUGCCGCGUGAGUGAUGAAGGCCUUAGGGUUGUAAAGCUCUUUCACCGAUGAAGAUAAUGACGGUAGUCGGAGAAGAAGCCCCGGCUAACUUCGUG
rnacentral:rRNA from 1 species